AGGAUGCAGGGCACCGGCUGGCGAGCGCCGACGGGCGGGGAGGGGACGAGAGGACGCAGGGGAUGCUCGGUGCCCGGCUUGCAGCAGGUGUCCGAGAAAUGAUAAAUGCUGGGUCCUGGCACCUGGGGCGGAACACCGUGAGCAUUCCACUGGCCCAUGGGCAACAUGCUAGUGCUUUGCUUGCCGUGCCCACCUCCAGCCCUGGAGCCAUGGGAGAGAUAAGGUAGCCCCUGGGUCCGAUGGGGAAGCCCAAUUCAAUGGAUACGAAGUACAAGGAUGACUUAUUUCGGAAGUACGUGCAGUUCCAUGAGGGCAAAGUGGACGCCACCCCCGGCAAGCAGCGGCCUGGCAGCGAUGAGUACCUGCGCGUGGCAGCCGCCACCCUGCUCAGUCUGCACAAGGUGGAUCCCUUCUCCCGGUUCCGGCUGAUCCAGUUCUAUGAGGCUGUGGAGAGCUCCCUGCGCUCACUGAGUCGCUCCAGCCUGCGUGCCUUGCACUGCGCCUUCAGCACGCUCGAGACGGUGGCCAUCAACCUCUUCCUGUACCCUUGGAAGAAGGAGUUCCGUAGCAUCAAGACCUACACAGGCCCUUUUGUUUACUAUGUCAAGUCCACAUUGCUGGAGGAGGACAUCCGAGCCAUCCUGAACUUCAUGGGCUAUGUGCCUGAGCUGGGGACUGUGUACAGGCUCAAGGAACUUGUGGAGACCCUGCAGGUGAAGAUGGUCUCCUUUGAGCUCUUCCUGGCCAAGGUGGAAUGUGAGCAGAUGCUGGAGAUCCACGCACAGGUGAAGGACAAGGGUUACUCAGAGCUGGAUGUGGUGACUGAGCGCAGGAGCAGCACCGAGGAUGCACGUGGCUGUUCAGAUGCUCUGCGGCGGCGGGCCGAGGGCCGGGAGCACCUGACCACUUCCAUGGCCCGUGUAGCACUACAGAAGUCAGCCAGCGAGCGGGCAGCCAAGGACUACUACAAGCCCCGCGUGACCAAGCCCUCCAGGUCAGUGGACGCCUAUGACAGCUACUGGGAGAGCAGGAGGCCACCCCUGAAGGCCUCGUUGAGUCUGCGCAAGGACUCCCUGGCCACAGAUCUGGGAGACGAGCUAAAGGACGAGAUCAUCCGCCCAUCCCCCUCUCUUCUGGCCAUGUCCAGCUCGCCCCAUGGCAGCCCGGAUGCCCUCCCAUCCACUUCCCCAAUCAAUGGCCUGGGUCUGCUGCGUAGCACGUACUUCUCUGCGCAGGGUGACUUGGAUCUGUACACAGACCCAGAGCCCAGGGCCACGUGCCGGAGGCAGGACGCUCUGCGGCCAGAUGGGUGGUUGGUCAAAAAUGAUGCCCACCCCUUCUACCACAAGCGCUCACCCCCUGCCAAAGAGUCUGCCCUCUCCAAGUGCCAAAACUGUGGCCUGGCCUGUAGCUCCUCCCUCUGCCAGCGCUGUGAUGGUCUGCUCGCCUGUUCCUCGGCCUCCAAGCCCAGCGCCUUUCCCAGCAAGGCCUCUGCUCAUGACAGCCUGGCUCACGGGGCACCUCUGCGGGAGAAGUACGCGGGCCAGACUCAAGGCCCCGAGCGGCUGCUGCCUGCCCACUCUAAGGUCAAGCCGCCCUCCACAGCCACCUCCCGCUGUGGCUUCUGCAACCGCGCAGGUGCCACCAACACCUGCACCCAGUGUUCAAAAGUUUCCUGCGACGCCUGCCUCAGCGCCUACCACUACGACCCCUGCUGCAGAAAGAGUGAGCUGCACAAGUUCAUGCCCAACCACCAGCUCUCCCACCUUGUGUACAGAUAGACCCACCUGGCCUUCCGCUACAAGGGCUACACCGCUGAUGGCUGGGCGUUGACCUGAAGCAGAGAAGGGAAGGGCACUGUCAUGCUCACGUGGGAGUUCACGUAUACUUCAUCUCAACCAGUGGCGGCUUUGUCAUGUGACCAGGGACAGGGUGGCACUUUCAUUCAGAUUCCUUUCUGCUCAUCUCCAUGUCUUAUUUGGGUUUGGUUUCCUGUAGAGGAUGUUAGUUUCUGGGGCUCUUGCCACACCUACCCUUCUCACUGGACUGGGAAGGACCCUUUGGGUCUCCUCCACAUGCCCAUGCCCAUGCCCACUGGGAGUGGCGAGCAGAGGCCUGUUGGCUUGUGAAAUGAGCCCUCCUGCCACACUGGGUCUCUGAUGGCUCACCUCUGUCCAUCCUGUUCCCAAAUACAGGGGAUCCCCAGUGAGAUGCCCCACUCCAAUUCUGCCCCUCUGUGUGUCGGGGGAGCCAAGUCCAGUAUUAGCUGGGUGCCAUCUUGCCAAUAUGGCUCCGUGAAGCCAGCCCAUGGCACUGGAGAGUUUCACUCUGCACAUUGGAAAGGACUCCACAGCAGGACCACUUCCUCCUGCUGUCUGUUUGCACACGCCCAUCUGCUGUACUAUAGAGAUUUUGAGAUUUAUUUUUUUUCAACCUGCUAUAUGUCUCCAAGUGGUUAAAGAAAUUAAUGAUGCAGCUAUUUAUAAAGAUGCCCUGGGUUCUUUAGUCUCCCAGGGAGGCCUUGUGCCCUAGGGUGUCCUCCACUAGGGUGGAGUGGAGAGCUUUGGGCUGGGGACUAACAGAGCCCACGUCCCUCUUUUUUGUCAAUGGAGAGCUACUGUCUUCCCUACAGUAAAUACUAUACACCUACCUCCAGUGUGCACGCGGGGUUAGCACUGGCACCUGCAGAUUGAUGAUCCGGUGACCGUGUGGGGCUGUCACCCCUGGGAUCUAUAGCCCUGGUCCUUGGUGCCUGCUGAGCGUGAACCUCACACUCCAAACCUCAAGUCUCGAUUCAGAAGAAAGAUCAGGCAGGGUUCCCACCUCCUAUCUCAGCCCUCCUUACUGGCUUCCAGAACUUGUUGGCAGUCAUUUUGCACUAGGAGUGGGCAGAGAUGGCUUCGGCCUAUCAGACAGAUGCCCCUCCAGUACUCAGCGAGAGCCUCCAUCCUUCCAAACCGGAAGGCCCCCAUCUCUUCAUGUAAAUUACCGACCUCUGGAUUUUCCUUUUUGGGGAGCAGAGUAGGAAGAAUUUGAAAAUGCUGCUUCCUGUGAACUGAUAACAUUUAGCCAUAAGUGUUUGUGAUGUACACUGUUAAGGGAUUUAUGUGCAAGUGGAUUUUCCUGAGAAAGAGGUGUUUAGCUCUUGAGCGGGUUUGAAUCUGGCUGAAUCCUGAGGCCACUGUGAAUUUGCUGAUGUUCUUCCAACUCACUUGAGUGAUUUUAAGAUCUCCAAAUCUUCUAUGGCUGUUUUAUAUAUCCCUGGUAGAUCACAUGUAGAUGUACAGUGUGUAUAUAUAAGGCUGAAUUUCAACCACCUUUAUUACUGAGACCAGCCUAUGGGGCCUUCAUCUCACAUUUCCAACCUGGCAACACCUGGCCCACUCCCAAGAGCUCUAGUUUUCUAGUUUUCCAUUUCCAGAUUGCUCCAGCAUUACAGUAACUUACCCAACCUGAUGCCACGGAGUUUAGCGUGGGCAGAAGCAGGAACGGCCGCGUCGUCCUGGGAGGAAAGUGCAGUGUACUUAGGACGCAAGAUGCUGUGUGCACGCUGGAACGGGAAGUGCUGCCCCGCUCACGAGGUGUCUGAUCGCAGGGCCACCGCUGAUCAGAUGACACGACUUCUUGUCCAGUUCUGAAUGCUCAAAGACCAGAAUGACAAGCAGGAGCUCAGCAACAGCAGCACAGGCCCCUCCAGGGCCACUUCCACACCUGGAAAAGCAGCAACGGCUCUUAGAGCCCAGGGGCCUCACAGGAGCUUCUCAACCAUGCUGAGUCUCCCUCAAUUGGAACAGAAGACCAGCACUUAAAAAAAACUUCAUUUUUAGAGGAAAAAAGACAAAAACAAAUGCAAGGCUCAAAUCAGACUUGUGAAGAAACUAAGCCUUCACAAGAUACCAUGAGGGAGUCCCUCUAGCUUGCACAAGCAUGGCUCCAGAGAGUGCCUCGGUGGCUUCUUGCCACCAUCACUGCACGUCUUCCCGUGGAGCCCCUGCCUGCCCACUGGUGUGUAGGCUCGAUGCAGCAUCAGGAAGGGGGAGAUAGCGCCGGAGUGGGGGGGGGCCAAGGCACUUUCUACUCUGAAGCUGGGAGAUGGGGCAGCAGGGGGUUAUCACAAAGUCUCCCUUCCUUCCCAGCCUACAGGGCCUGCUUUGAAAGGAGAGCCAGCCUGCUCUCCAGGCUUUGAUGCAGUGCCUGGGCUCUGGAGAACAGUUCUGGAGAUGGCCCCUGCUGCUCCACACUUGAAUUUGAUUUCCUUGGCACUGCCAGUGGCGGAAAUAAGCUUCACAUUUCUGAGGGAAUGGAGAGGGGACCCUUUCUUUGUCCGAACUGGUGACAGAAAGCUGCUGUUGGGAUUUAUCCCCAUAGGCCUCAGGGAACAGCUGAGUGCAGGGCCACCCCAGCCUUGUUGGCCACCUCUAGGUGAAGGGGAUCCUGCAGCAGUCACUGAGGUGGCUUUUAGAGCAGGGUCCCUGCUUACUGGUCUCCGUACCCAUUGCAUACACAAGAACCUCUGGCCAGACCCAAAUGUGGAAAGCUUCACAUUUGGAGAGGUUUCAGCACAUCUGACUUGACUGGCUAAAGGGCCAGCUCACCCAUGGGGACAAGCUUCGUGGCUGUCACCUCACCAGUUCUGUCGCUUGGCCUAGACCUUCAAUAUACAGGAAGGUGGAUGGCGCAAAAUAGAAUCCUUUUCUAUCUUUCACACAUUCACUUCCCCAAAUAAUAGUUACUGGGCAAGAAAAAUCUAGACAGCAGCAACCUUCUUCAGCAGAGGCUUUAUAAAACCCAUAAAAAGGAAAUUCCUCCAGUGCUGCUCCUCAAAGGCAGGGGACCCAAGACCUCUGCUAGGGCUGCUUUUCCAGGGUGCUAAGCCCACACUUGACAGCAGGGGGCAGACAAGGCCCACAGGAGUUCAGGAAACUGGUGCCUCCCUUCCCCCAGCAGCACUUUGCAGCCCUCGCAAGCUCUGCUACUGUGUCAAGUUCAGGAUUCAAUUAAAAGUAGGCGGCCAGGCAAGAUGUGUCUGAGACAUGAGACCUGGUGACAAGGGGGCAGUCUGAAUGAGAUCCUGACUCUUUCUUGCUUAAUCUAUGAGUUUUUAGAUUUAAAAAGAGAAAUCGUGGCAAGCCAUUGAACCUACAUCUCUGAGCUCAGACAACCUCAGGAGGAAAGAUCUGAACUGGAAUAAGGGAGCAAACUGCUCUCAGGCUCGGCCUCCCUCAAAGUUACACAAGGCAAAGGAGUGGAUCCAGUUACAGGACUCAGGUGAGACCAGAGGAGAAAGGAGCGUACUUUGGCUCUGUCAAGGGCAGAUGAGCCUCUCCCACGCAGAAGCCAAUCAUGCUUCCAGCUUCCAGCACGACAGCCCCUGCUCUGCCAACUUCUGGAGCAAGUGAGCUGUCAGGGCUGUGGGUCACCCCAAGUGCCUGGCCAGAUCCUAGAGCUGGAGCUCCAUCCUUCCUGACAUCAGGGUCACAGCCACUGAUAGGGAGAGACAUAACUCUACCUACUGCCAGCCCAGUUGUGCCUACUCUGACCCCAGUGAGAGCUAAGGCAUAUGCGUGAAUAUUACCCACCCAGGGGCAUGGGCAGGGUCCCCAGGCUACACGUGGGGACGGGCAAAAUCCAGCAGUCAUAUAAAGGGCAGGAGGAGAGUAUGUAGGUCAGAAACUCCACCGUCUAUGGACACGAAUGGCAGCUCCUCCCCCCGUGGUAUGUGGGGGAAGGGAGAGCGGGAUCCCUGGUGUUGAGGUCAGAUGGGAGAGAGGCAGGAGCUCAGAGUGACAGCUAGGCUGGCACAACAGGCUGACACCACCGGGCCUGGCAAGAGACUGACUAGAGGACAACAGAGACACAGUGGCUCCCAGGCUCACACACUUGGGAAGGUGACCUGACGCUGCCCCCAAGAACCCUCUCCAGGGGUCUCCAGCCCCACAGGCUAGUCCAGCACCCUUCCAAGUGGCUCAGGAGAGGGCUGCCCUGGUGCCAUUGUAAACAUCUGCACUGUGCUCCAAGGAGGCAUGCUGGCAGUUCCAGGUAGAGAGAUCAGGCCAGUCAGUUUUCUCUCGGGGGGGGGGGGGGUGCGGC